GGGAAGGUAGCUCAGUGGUAGAGCACUUGCCUUGCAUGCAAGAGGCCCUGGGUUCGAUUCCUCAGCACCA
rnacentral:tRNA from 1 species